CUUUCUAAGGUUUUUUUUAUUUUCCCAGCAAUCAGUACAACCAAGUCAUCGUUAUAAGGCAUCGCCCUCUUUUGCCCACCCCCCAGCACCAGGUGUGGCCACUAGCCUAUAAAGUGAAGGCCCAAAAUUGUGUGUUCCUUUCUGCUCUGACAAUGGCAUGCCCAUUCGUGUGAGAUGUGGUGGAUGAAGAAGCACUUGUGCUGAGGGAGAGCCUUCAGGCGAGAAAGGGUCUUCAGGGGACCGGUUGGACCCACUGGCCUUCCCUGAUGACCAUCUAUAUGAAAGAUACAGGUUUUCUGCAGAUGGCAUCAGGUAUCUAUGCAGACUACUGGGUCCCAGGAUUAAAGCGCACUGCACGGAGCCAUGCACUGAGUGUGGAGCAAAUGGUUUGUGUGGCCUUGCGCUUUUGCUAGUGGAGCCUUCCUGUACUCAGUGGGGGAUGCAGAACAGCUGAACAAGGCCACAAUUUGCCGCACAAUAAGGAGUGUGUGUCUGGCUAUCAAAGCAUUAGCAGAUGUCUUCAUCUCCUUCCCUGGCCACAGAAGACUCUGUGACAUCAAAGAGGAGUUCUAUAGGAUUGCAGAUGGUCUGCAAUGCUGACUGUGUGAUCAGCAAUGUUGUGGCAAAAUGGCCUGGCUCAGUCCAUGACUCCAGAAUCUUUCGGAUGCCUCUGAAAUCUAUCAGUGCCUAUCACAAGGUGAAUUCUCUGGUGUGUUGCUGGGAGACAGGGGGGUAUGGCUGCCAGCCUUUUCUCCUGACACCUUUCACAGACCCCCCAGGAAGCACAGCAGGCCUACAACCAUGCCCAUGCCAGGACCAGGGCCAGAGCUGAAAUGACCUUUGGCCUCCUGAAGGCACGCUUUCACUGCCUUCACAAAUUAAGGGUCAGCCCUGUUAGGGCA